rnacentral:rRNA from 1 species
GAAACCGGAGCUAAUACCGGAUAAUAUAUUGAACCGCAUGGUUCAAUAGUGAAAGACGGUUUUGCUGUCACUUAUAGAUGGAUCCGCGCCGCAUUAGCUAGUUGGUAAAGUAACGGCUUACCAAGGCAACGAUGCGUAGCCGACCUGAGAGGGUGAUCGGCCACACUGGAACUGAGACACGGUCCAG